rnacentral:lncRNA from 10 species
GUUCACGGGCUGCCUUACGUAGCAGACAGACAGGGCUUUGCUGCCACCUUAGAGCAGAUGGAGUCUCGCUCUGUCGCCCAGGCUGGAGUGCAGUGGCGCGAUCUCGGCUCACUGCAAGCUCCGCCUCCCGGGUUCACGCCAUUCUCCUGCCUCAGCCUCCUGAGUAGCUGGGACUACAGGUGCCCGCCACCAUGCCUGGCUAAUUUUUUGUAUUUUUGAUAGAGACAGGUUUUCACCGUGUUAGCCAGGAUGGUCUCGAUCUCCUGACCUCGUGAUCCACCCUCCUCUGCCUCCCAAAGUGCUGGGAUUACAGGCGUGAGCCACCACGCCCGGCAGGAAGUUUCUGGUUUUAAAAAUAAACAUUGUAUCAUUUGGACACUUUGGAGUCUUUAUUUCCCCCACCACCCCCUUCUGGGCCCUUUAGAAAACAUUGUUGAGAUAGUAUUCUAAAAAUAAUCUGUAUCUUAUUUUUGUGACUUUGUAAGCUUUUCCCAUAUCAUUAAUAGCUUUUCAUAAAAGUAAUUUUUAUUGGCUGUAUCAUAGGCCAUCGUAUGUGUGUCCUAUGCUUGAGUUAAUCAUUCCUGUACUGUUAAACAUUUGGGAGGAAAAAUUUGUUGUAAUGUUAUAAGGACAGAUAUGUGAUUUCAGUCUUUAAAUAUGUCAACUUGCUCUUAAGCAUAUCUGCAUUUAUAUUCUUUUGAAUUGCAGUCUUAUGAUUGCCACAUAUCUGAAGGGGUAAAGGUACAUUGUGGGAACUUGCAUCUGGCCUUUGGCAGUUUGAACCAUGAGCUCUUUCUUAAUAUUGGCUGUAAAUAUAUUUGUCCUACUGCAAGAAAUUGUUAGUCUUAAAUACCAGAAUUUUUGUUUAGAAAAAGAAACUGAGUAGCCACUUUAAAAUAAAAUACAAUGUGUUCUAG